rnacentral:rRNA from 1 species
CCUUCAUGAAGCCGGAAUUGCUAGUAAUGGCAGGUCAGCAUACUGCCGUGAAUACGUUCCCGGGCCUUGUACACACCGCCCGUCACACCAUGAGAGUUGGGAAUACCCGAAGCCUGUGAGCCGACCGAAAGGGGCAGCAGUCGAAGGUAGAAUCAAUGAUUGGGGUGAAGUCGUAACAAGGUACC